rnacentral:rRNA from 1 species
CAGCCGCCACGGUAAAACAGAGGGUGCAAGCGUUAAUCGGAAUUACUGGGCGUAAAGCGCGCGUAGGUGGUUUGUUAAGUUGGAUGUGAAAUCCCCGGGCUCAACCUGGGAACUGCAUUUGUGACUGGAUGACUAGAGUACGGCAGAGGGGGAUGGAAUUCCGCGUGUAGCAGUGAAAUGCGUAGAUAUGCGGAGGAACACCGAUGGCGAAGGCAAUCCCCUGGGCCUGUACUGACGCUCAUGCACGAAAGCGUGGGGAGCAAACAGGAUUAGAUACCCGAGUAGUCCCUGUCUCUUAUAC